rnacentral:lncRNA from 1 species
AUGUCUACAUGUGCAAUUAAAUCUCAUGAAUUUUCUGCAAAGAAAAUUCAGGCUCAUUACAGUGUUCCCAGGUGCACACCUACACAUGUGCCCCUGUCAGAAGCAAAUUUGCUCCCAACAGGAGCAGUUCAGUCCAGGGCUGCCCCUGCCCCCCUGCAGCAGUGGGGGAGCUCCAAGGUCCCUGUGGUGCCAGCCCUGGGCUGGCAGGGGGCAUGGGGGUCGGGCCUGGCCUCCAGGGAGCAGGGAGGAGCUUUCCAGGAGAGGGGGAGAGGACCCAGCCACACAGAUCAGAAACGCAGCUCAGAUCGGUGGCAUUGGCUUGGGGCCACCCCACACCCGCCCAUGCCGACUCCCGCUCCUGCUGUUACUCAGCUUCCAGCUCCCCCCAGGCACAGGCAGGAAGCAAGAGCCAACUGGGCUAUGCAAAAUACAGGGAAGGAUCCGCAGAGGUCUAAGGCUCAAAGAGACUUUCCUUCAGGUGCAUGAGUAAUGCUGGGCUAAAUCCAACGCACUUGCAGCGGAAGUCCCCUCCCAUUGUAGGCUGCCUUUUCUACUCGUGAGGAUGGGGUUUUUUGAAAAUCCAGAGCAAAGCUUUCCAAAAUGUGGGCCGCAUGCAGGGACUUGGCACUGAAGUUCGUUAUGCUAGCCUGUGAACUAUGAAAUAUCGUAUCCAGAAGGAAACACUUUUCAACAUCGUGCUUGACACCAGACAACAUCGAGCUAAAUAGACUGUUCUAACUUUUAUCUGCGCCUAAUUUGCACAAAUUGAACUAUUCCAGCCAGGAGAUCUUACAGCACCUUCCUCUCGCCUGUGAAAUAUGAAUUUUCAUUUCCACUUAGGAGAAAUUUUGCAAUCUUUGCAGUCUCCUUUGCCCAAGGAAGGGCACGUGUGCCCAAAAGCUUGCAAAUAAAUAAUUUUUUUGCAAACA